rnacentral:rRNA from 1 species
AGUGAACGCUGGCGGUAGGCCUAACACAUGCAAGUCGAACGGCAGCACAGUAAGGGCUUGCUCUUACGGGUGGCGAGUGGCGGACGGGUGAGGAAUACAUCGGAAUCUACUUUUUCGUGGGGGAUAACGUAGGGAAACUUACGCUAAUACCGCAUACGACCUACGGGUGAAAGCAGGGGAUCUUCGGACCUUGCGCGAUUGAAUGAGCCGAUGUCGGAUUAGCUAGUUGGCGGGGUAAAGCCCACCAAGGCGACGAUCCGUAGCUGGUCUGAGAGGAUGAUCAGCCACACUGGAACUGAGACACGGUCCAGACUCCUACGGGAGGCAGCAGUGGGGAAUAUUGGACAAUGGGCGCAAGCCUGAUCCAGCCAUACCGCGUGGGUGAAGAAGGCCUUCGGGUUGUAAAGCCCUUUUGUUGGGAAAGAAAAGCAGCAGGUUAAUACCCCGCUGUUCUGACGGUACCCAAAGAAUAAGCACCGGCUAACUUCGUG